rnacentral:rRNA from 1 species
ACGAACGCUGGCGGCGUGCCUAAUACAUGCAAGUUGAGCGCUGAAGGUUGGUACUUGUACCAACUGGAUGAGCAGCGAACGGGUGAGUAACGCGUGGGGAAUCUGCCUUUGAGCGGGGGACAACAUUUGGAAACGAAUGCUAAUACCGCAUAAAAACUUUAAACACAAGUUUUAAGUUUGAAAGAUGCAAUUGCAUCACUCAAAGAUGAUCCCGCGUUGUAUUAGCUAGUUGGUGAGGUAAAGGCUCACCAAGGCGAUGAUACAUAGCCGACCUGAGAGGGUGCUCGGCCACAUUGGGACUGAGACACGGCCCAAACUCCUACGGGAGGCAGCAGUAGGGAAUCUUCGGCAAUGGACGAAAGUCUGACCGAGCAACGCCGCGUGAGUGAAGAAGGUUUUCGGAUCGUAAAACUCUGUUGGUAGAGAAGAACGUUGGUGAGAGUGGAAAGCUCAUCAAGUGACGGUAACUACCCAGAAAGGGACGGCUAACUACGUG